ACUCCAGCUCCAAUAACGUAUGUUAAAGUUGUUGCAGUUAAAAAGCUCGUAGUCUGACUCUUGGCCUGGCGGUGAGCGCCGGCGGCCCACAAGGUCGCUCGCGUGCGAACCGCUGGCCAUGUACUUCGGAGGAGCGCGUGUGCUUUCCAUUAAGUGGGCGUGGGAUUCCGAUAGUUUACUUUGAGAAAAAUAGAGUGUUCAAAGCAGGCGAUUGCCUUGAAUACAUUAGCAUGGGAUAAUGGAAUAGGACAUUGGUUCUAUUUUGAUGGUUUAAGGGCCGAUGUAAUGAUUAAUAGGGACGGUUGGGGACAUUUAUAUUCCAUGGCUAGAGGUGAAAUUCUUGGAUUCGUGGAAGAUAAACUGCUGCGAAAGCGCCUGUCAAAGACGUUUUCAUUGAUCAAGAACGAAAGUUAGGGGAGCAAAGAUGAUCAGAUACCGUCGUAGUCUUAACCAUAAACGAUGCCGACUAGGGAUCGGUGGGUGUUAGUUUGAUGACCCCAUCGGCACCUCGUGGGAAACCAAAGUCUUUGGGUUCCGGGGGGAGUAUGGUCGCAAGGCUGAAACUUAAAGGAAUUGACGGAAGGGCACCACCAGGAGUGGAGCCUGCGGCUUAAUUUGACCCAACACGGGAAAACUCACCAGGUCCAGACAUGGUAAGGAUUGACAGAUUGGGAGCUCUUUCUUGAUUCCAUGAAAGGUGGCGCAUGGCCGUUCUUAGUUGGUGGAGUGAUUUGUCUGGUUAAUUCCGAUAACGAACGAGACCUUAACCUGCUAACUAGUCACGGGAAGCCUUGUGCUUGCCGGCCGACUUCUUAGAGGGACAGUCUGUUUCCAGCAGAUGGAGGUGUGAGGCGAUAACAGGUCUGUGAUGCCCUUAGAUGUCCUGGGCUGCACGCGCGCUACACUGACGAGUUCAACGAGUAUAUAACCUUGGCAGAGAUGUCUGGGUAAUCUUUUGAACGCUCGUCGUGAUGGGGAUAGAUGAUUGCAAUUAUUCGUCUUGAACGAGGAAUUCCUAGUAAGUGUGAGUCAUCAGCUCGCGCUGAUUACGUCCCUGCCCUUUGUACACACCGCCCGUCGCUCCUACCGAUUGAAUGGUCCGGUGAGAACUCCGGAUCACGCGCGUGACGCAGGUUCGCCUGUGACUUGUGCGAGAGAAGUUGUUCAAACCUUACCAUUUAGAGGAAGGAGAAGUCGUAACAAGGU
rnacentral:rRNA from 1 species